rnacentral:rRNA from 1 species
UACGGAGGGUGCAAGCGUUGCUCGGAAUUAUUGGGCGUAAAGGGUAGGUAGGUGGUCUCAUUUGUCCGGGGUGAAAGCCUGGGGCUUAACCCCAGAAGUGCCCCGGAAACGGUGAGACUCGAGUACUGGAGAGGGUGGUGGAAUUCCCGGUGUAGCGGUGAAAUGCGUAGAGAUCGGGAGGAACACCAGAGGCGAAGGCGGCCACCUGGACAGUGACUGACACUCAACUACGAAAGCGUGGGGAGCAAACAGG